UAAAUUCUGAAAUACACGUUUUGCUCUUAUUUUGAACCUACAAAGUUAUUAUGGGAGUCCAAUAAUUGAAGGAAUAUAUCAAGCCCUAUAUAAUGAGGGGAAGAUGGACAACUUCAUGAGGAUGCCCACCUAUCAGGAAUGAUAGGCGUCAAAAUAGAGUGGACGGUAUUUUGGGAUAUAA
rnacentral:other from 1 species